CACAGAGUUAGCCGGGGCUUCCUCUCCAAGUACCGUCAAGGUCAAGGCGUAUUAGGCCCCAACCCUUCGUCCCUGACGACAGGGUUUUACGAUCCGAAGACCUUCAUCACCCACGCGGCGUUGCUGCGUCAGACUUUCGUCCAUUGCGCAAAAUUCCCCA
rnacentral:rRNA from 1 species